rnacentral:tRNA from 1 species
GCUGAAGUGUCCGAGUGGUUAAGGAGUUGGACUUGAAAUCCAAUGGGUACUACCCGCGCAGGUUCGAAUCCUGUCCUCAGCG